GGCUAGUCUGAAGGUAGCAAGUUGUCUCCAUUGACUGCUCACAGUUACAAAUAGAACUCCUUGAUCUACUCUUUCCCUCCUUCUCUUGACUAGUCUUAA
rnacentral:Y_RNA from 2 species